ensembl:lncRNA
CACCCACGGGGCUGGGGAUCCCUGUCCCCCACGGCCUUGUCACCCACGGUGCUGGGGAUCCCUGUCCCCCAGGUCCUUGUCACCCAUGGUGCUGGGGGGUCCCUGUCCCCCGUGUCCUUGUCACCCACGGUGCUGGGGGGUCCUUGUCACCCACAGUGCUGGGGGGUCCCUGUCCCCCGUGUCCUUGUCAUCCGUGGUGCUGGGGGGUCCUUGUCACCCACGGCGCUGGGGGGUCCCUGUCCCCCAUGUCCUUGUCACCCAUGGUGCUGGGGGGUCCCUGUCCCCCAUGUCCUUGUCUCCCAUGGUGCUGGGGCAUCCCUAUCCCCCGGGUCCUUGUCACCCACGGUGCUGGGGGUCCCUGUCCCCUGUGUCCUUGUCACCCACGGUGCUGGGGGUCCUUGUCACCUGUGGCACUGGGGGCUCCCUGUCCCCCGUGUCCUUGUCACCCGCAGCGCUGGGCGGGGCAGACCAGCCGUGGCUCUGCUCUGAGAUCCGAUCACCUGGGGCCACCGCCUGGGAUGACACCCGCGGCCCCUGUGAGCCCCGGUUCCAGUCCCAGUCGCUCCCUGCUGUGGCCUGGGGAGCAGCAGAGGAUGGCCUGAGUGCGUGGGCCCCUGCACCCAUGUGGGAGACCCCCAGGCUCCUGGCUGUGGCCUGGCCCAGCCCCAGCCACUGUGACCAUAAUGGGGAUGAGUCAGGGAAUAGAUCUCUCCCUCUCUCCCUCUCCCUCUCUCUCUGUUACUCUGCCUUUCAAACAAAUAAAUAAAUCUGUUUUAAAAAAAAAACAAAACAGAAAUGUGGCUUUGCUGUGGGACAGCCUGUAGGAAGCAGCAGAAUCCUUUGCUGUUGUUUAAAUUUUAUUUAUUUGAGAGAGACGGACAGGGGGAUCUUCCACCCACUGGCUCACAACACCCAGGGCUGGACCAGGCCAAAGCCAGGAGCCUGGCCCGCCAUGCCGGUCUCCCGUGUGGGUGGCGGGGGCCCAAGGCCUUGAGUCAGCACCUGCUGCCUCCCAGGGGGGCAUUAGCAGGAAGCUGGACUCGAACCCAGGCCCUCUGAUGUGGGAUGCGGGCGUGCUGACCGUUGGCUCACCCGCUGCACCCACACCUGCCCUGAAGCUGUUGUCAGCGGGAGUGGGGGGGGGCGCGAGACGGGGGCUGCUUUCCUGCUGUCCCCCCGGUCGUUGUUCUGGCCGACAAAGACAGAGCGAGUGACAUCCCAGCCCUGACCCAAGAACAAGGCUUGCAGAGCGAGAACGGAGCCCUGGACGCCCCACCCCUGCACCCGGCCCCCCCAACCCAGGAGCCUCUGUUCAUCCUCCGGGGCUCCCCGCCAUCCCUGUGCGCCUCGCACCCGAAUCCGUGAACGCUGGGGCUUUGCUUGUGUGUGGCCGCCUCUCCUCCUCCCGGCCGUAGACAAACCCACGGGAAGGGGCUUUGCUUGCCCUGUCACUGCCCGGACCCCUCGCGGCUCCCCCGGCCUGGGCCCCAGGAGGAGGACAGGGGCGCGGGGCGGCCGAGCAGGGUGGAGGCCUGGCGGGGGCCCCAGCGUGCGCGCUGGGCUCCUGCAGGCCGGGAGCCAGCAGGCUGGAGCCCGGCGCCCUCCGGGGCCUCCUCACAGCCGCUUUUGAUAAAACCCCCCGCGCCGGGAGGGGGCCCGGCCGGCUGGAGCCAGCGCACAUCUGCAGGCCAGCAGAGGCCCGAGGCGGCCGGCGCGGCUGACAGCGGCGCCACCCGCCACCCCGAGCCACACGCCCGGCCCUGGGU